rnacentral:pre_miRNA from 1 species
AUCCCUCGCCGAGACGGCCAGUUGUUGCCGAGGCCGCUGGUUGUUCGCGGUGAAUAGGCGGCGGCCUCGGCGCUAACGGGCGGUCUCGGCGAACAA